rnacentral:rRNA from 1 species
UACGUAGGGUGCAAGCGUUGUCCGGAAUUAUUGGGCGUAAAGGGCUCGUAGGCGGUCCAUCGCGUCGGGAGUGAAAAGCUGGGGCUUAACCCCAGUCCUGCUUCCGAUACGGGUGGACUAGAGGUAGGUAGGGGAGAACGGAAUUCCUGGUGUAGCGGUGAAAUGCGCAGAUAUCUGGAGGAACACCGGUGGCGAAGGCGGCAUCCUGGACCGACACUGACGCUGAGGAGCGAAAGCCAGGGGAGCAAACGGG